rnacentral:lncRNA from 1 species
UUUCCCUCGAUCCACAUGAGGAAUUGCAAUUAAUACAUUUGCUCCAACAUCCACCUGUGUUAAAACUCUUUCCGAUAGAUUUCUCAUCCUGAGUGCUUGUUUUGUCAUUGAGUCUGAUGCAUGCCUUCUCUAAUUUCUGAUGACCUCUUCGUUUGAACAUAGGUGACAAGUAAUAGUAUCAGAUAUGUUUCCUUUUGAACACAGCUCAUGUAUGUACUGUGCACAAGUAAAACACUGGAUAUUCGAAAAACAUAGAUUUUCACACACGGCACAC